rnacentral:misc_RNA from 1 species
UGAGAUGAGCCUCUGUUUGGCUUUUAGGAAGAUGUUUUUCCAUUUUGUAAGAUUAUGCCGGGGAAGGUUUUCCGGUUUAUCCCGGAGGGCUUGUAGCUCAGUUGGUUAGAGCGCGCGCUUGAUAAGCGUGAGGUCGGAGGUUCAAGUCCUCCCAGGCCCACCAUUUGUGRGUGCUUGUAGAGUGCUUGUUAUGUGUGAACGUUGAGAGUGUGACGUUUUUCAAUUACGUUGAAGUUGUAGGAAUUCAGGUUCRUUUGUGAGUUUCAGUCAUUUAUUUUUAGGGGCCGUAGCUCA